GGUUUGUCAUCACUAAACCAGCAGUUCAGGAAGAACGUAUCGCUGGUUAGUGCUGAAAAUUGUUUUUGAUAAGUUUUCAAUUUCUACACAUUUUUCGGUAGAUUUUCUGAGCUCUGCGUAGUGUUCUGAUAUGUGCAUAAUUUCUCGGGCGCGGAAUAUCAAUUUUGGUGAAUGAUUGUAACAAUAUCGCAAAGUACUGCAAAGAAACAAUUGUAUGACUGUAAAAGAAAACUAGAAAAAUUAUUCACUCAUAUGUGUGAGUUGAACUCACUGAGUUCCUCAUUCUACCUUCACCAUAUACGCAACUGUCUACUAAUAUCUGGUAUUGUUAAAAUGAUUCAGAUUACUUUUCUCAAAGAUCCAAUACUGCCACGGUCGAAUGCAAACACCAUAGAAAUUAGUGUUGCUGGUUAUUUUACCGAUGUUUCAGUGCUCAUUACAGAAUGUGACCGUGAUGUAUAAUAUUUAUAAUUUACCGAGUGUUAUAAAUUUUUUCUAACCUGUAUCAUAAUUUGUGCUUAAAUUAGUGAUUUGAAAUAAUGUACUUAUGUAUAAUAAGAAAAUUUUAGAUUGCAGUUUUACACAAUUUAUUAUCAAAUGUUCUAUGGUAAAGUUUGGCAACAAUCCGGUCGCGAGGUGUAGAAAAGAAAAUUGUCCAGUGAACCAACAGCACUCGUAGAAGCAGAAUCAUCAAAACAGCGCAGUUUAACCAAAUAUUACAUUCCCACUACUAGUGUGCGUCCAAAUAGUAUAUGCGGAUGUGUUCCAACUUUCGAAAAAUGAAACGGGUCGAAUGAGAGGUCGAUAAAAAGUAGAAUGUGUAAAUUUCAUAGAAAAUAUAUUUGGAUGAAUUUUGAAUAUUAAUUCAUCACAUGGGCGGAUCGGGAAGGUUAGUGUACUGAUAAGUCCCGUUGUAUGCAAAAUUGACCGAAGCUUUGGUAUGUGGUCGCGAAAGUGAUUUCUGUGAGGUGUGAAUUGAUGCAGGAGGUGAAAUACAAUGAAGUCUAAUAUUAUUUGAAGUGUUGAUAUUUAGAUCUGGUCACUGGUUUGAACUUAAAAAUGUUGACUGUGAUGGUAUAAAAAUAUGGGUUAACGGCAAUGGUCCAAAUGUCAUGAACUAGGUGUUGAAUAUACUGAAAGCAACGAUGUUGAUUGUUUUCCCAGAUAUAUGAAUAUGUGUGUGUGUGUUCACAAGAAAAAUCCUGUGCUUUUUCCUGCUAGCUGAGGCAAACGAAAACAAGUAAAAGUGCUUAUCCAAUAUAAUCUAUGAGUGUCUGGCCAAAGACAGUAAAUUAAAAAAAGGGGAGAGUUACGUCUGAUACGAGCCGAAUAUGUUCAAUUUUAUGAAGAAAGGUGUUGGAGUAAGUGACGAUCGUGAUGAAAAGGAACGUCGCAAACGAGAAAAGAAAAUGCGGAAGGAUGGCAAAGGGACGGGUGUGUCUGGAAGCAUGAGUACUGAAGAGCUUUUGCGACUAGACGAGGUACGAAGAUCACUGAAGAUACGGGGCCGGCGGAAAGAGAAGGAAAAGUUGCCCAGUGGAAUCACUGCUGAUUAUAGUGCGUCAUUUUUCGCCCAGCUUGAUGUAGAUCGGGAACCGGAGCAAGACCGGGGUACAGAGGAAGUUGUUGCACUAGCCAACACUACCACCUACAUCGACAGCAAUGGAGAAAUGGUCGAACGGGUGUCAUUUACCACCGCAAACGUAUCACAGUCCGACAGCUCUGAAACGUCUAUGACUUCGGUGACUGUUAAUCAGACGAAAGUGUUACCGCCCGUGCCACCGAGACCACCAAAACGUGGUAUUUUAAAAGGUUCCCGACUAAACCUAAACGAAUCUGAUGGCGCUGGUUCGUAUACAUCAUCUCCUGAUUCCAAAACAGUAUUAAUGAGAAAUACGAUACAAAACGAACGCAUAAACUAUUCACAAUUGGCCACUCGAUAUUCUGCCGAAAAUUUGAGACUUAUGGGAGAGGUGAGCCCCGGAAAUGUAAAUCAUUUGCAUGUAACGACUUCUCCAUCUCCCAGUGCUGAUAGUCUUACUGAUACAACGAAUUCCUCCUUUGCCACACCACCUUUCUCGCUUAGCCCAGUUGGCGAGUCACAAGGCUCGUUUCGAUGGUCUAGAGUACAAAUAUUUGAGGAUGUUAGUCUUCCACUACCAGCGAUCAAAUUGGUAGAUUUGCCACCACCCAGAGAAUUAUUGAUCAAGAGGCAGAAAACUCCUCGCAACGAUUUUGGAUUCAGUUUGAGAAAAGCAAUGGUUUUAGAUCGGGCUUCUUCUUUGCUGUCACCUACAUUCCGCCCGGUGAUAUUCGCCGAGCCUAGCACAAACAGUAGCUCCUAUACUGGGUUGCUUCCUGGCGAUCGAUUACUAAAGGUGAACGGUAUGUCUGUUGAAGAGCUCUCUCGAGAAAUGAUUAUCGAGUUAAUUCGUAAUAGCGGAGAUAGUGUUCUAGUGCAGGUUCAACCAGUUGCUGAAUUAGUAGAGCUUUCGCGUCGUUGUAUGACAGUUGUGAAUAACUCAAAAGAUCGAACCGCAUCAGUAGAUAUGAUCGAAUGUAACACAUUACGACGGAGUGCUAGCAAGCGCUUCAAAGCCGAGAUUAAAUCGAAUCAUCUGAACGACACAGAUCGAGAGAAUGGCCAUGAGAGUAGCGAAAAAGUAUGGCUCAUACAUCGUGGUGGCUUCACAGCUGCUUCUAAACUACCGAGCAGUAUUAUUACGGAACCAGGUAAAACGAUGUUGCAGCUCGAGCACAACGGGGAAGAGUUGAGCGUAGAUGACGAUGAUAUUGAGCAGGCCAAUCCGGAAUCGCUGGACCUGGUGGAGGAUAUAUGUCAAUUGAGACACUUAAAUGAGGCGUCAGUUCUACACGUUCUUCGACAGCGAUAUGCCAGUAAUCUCAUCCACACACGGGCUGGUCCGGUGUUGCUGGUGGUCAAUCCGAUGGCACCUUUGUCGCUUUACUCUGAAAAGGUGGUGUCAAUGUUUCGAGGAUGUAAAACAGAAGACAUGCCUCCACAUGUAUUCUCUCUUGCGCAAACAGCUUAUCGUGCAAUGUUAGAAACGCGUCGAGAUCAAAGCCUUAUUUUCAUGGGACGUUCCGGAUCAGGCAAAACUACCAGCUUCAAGCAUGCUCUAUAUUAUUUGGCAUUAGCAGCAGGUUCAGCCAACAAAAUACUCUCGGCGGAGCGGGUAAGUGCAAUGAAUACGAUCCUGGAGGCGUUUGGCAAUGCAAAAACGUGUCUCAAUGUAAACGCUACACGUUUCACGCAAAUUCUUAGCUUGGAUUUCGAUCACUGUGGGCAAAUCGCAUCGGCAUCGGUUCAAAUAUUGUUGCUGGAGAAAUCCCGAGUUGGAAGGCGCUCUGGAAGUGACCAACAUAAUUUCCAUGUUUUUGGUAGAUUACUAGCAGGAGCUGAGGGUCAUCUUCAAAAAGAGCUCUUUCUGGACACCAUAAACUUCGACGAAAGCAAUCUAUUCGUGACUUUACCAACGAAGUUGGAAGAUAAACAGAAUGCGUCGAUGGAUUUCGCUCGGCUUCAACAAGCAUUCAGUUUGCUCAAUGUUGAACAAUCGGCUGUUAGAGCUUGUUGGUGUGUGUUAGCUGCAAUAUAUCAUUUAGGUAGCGCAAGCUGUUCGAUUGUUGGAACGGGAUCGAGCGCUAGAAUGCAAUUUGCUAAUCCAACAGCUGCACGUAGAGCUGCUAGUCUGUUGGGAAUUUCUAUGGAUGAUUUGACAACUGCUGCAUUUUCGAAUGCAUUAAAGUCGAAUCCUGCUUCACCGGUCAAAUCAGCAUCAUUUUCAGAUCAAUCUGAUUUAGCUUCCGCGGCAUUGGACAGCUUAGAAGGAUUCGUCAUAGGGUUGUAUUCCGAAGUAAUGGCCGCUGCGGUAGCACUAGUUAAUAAGGCUAUCAGUACGUCUAGUAAUACAAUUGCGUCAAUUCUUUUGAUUGACACGCCUGGUUUUCAAAAUCCGGCCAGUUGUGGGCAGCAAAGCGGUGCAUCUUUAUCCGAUUUAAGACAUAAUUAUCUGCAAGAACGAUUGCAGCUGUUAUUUCACCACGUAGCUCUGGUCGUUCCACGGAAUAGAUAUGCACAGGAAUUGGUAGAAAUUGAUACCGGUAUAUUACAAGACACAAAUCCCGGACCACUAGUAAAUCUACUCGAUAAAGCCCCACAAAACCAUGUCGUCCGAACAUCACAGAAUAAUCUUCGCGAUCAAGAUAAAAGGGGUUUGUUAUGGAUGCUGGACGAAGAGAUCAUGUAUCCGAAUGCUAGUGAUGAUACACUUUUUGAGCGUUUAUUUUCGUUUUAUGGAGAUCGUGAAAGUCACUCACUGAUUCGCAGGGGUGCUGGAACACGCCAAUUUAUCUUGCAACACAUGCAAGGAACGAAUCCUGUAUUAUACAGCUCGACAGGUUGGUUGAAAGGAAGUCAUGAACAUGGUUCCACGAAGUGCGCCAUCAGUUUACUGCAGGACAGUACCAAAACGGACAUAAGCACUCUCUUUACCAGCGGGUUUACGAGAAGUGGAGGAACUGUAUAUUUUGGCUCAAUCGUUGGCACGGAAGGUACCCAGUCAUUACGACGCGUCUCCAGCAUUCGGCGCUCAUUCACGUCAGCUGGUAUUAAGCGUAAUUCUGUGAUGCUGCAGGUUAAAUUCACAGUCGAUGGGAUUAUUGAUACGUUAAGGCGAACCGGAACACACUUUGUCCACUGUUAUCUGUUGCAGCACAAUGCCGGUACUACCAACUAUAUAAAUGUAAACACCAAAGCAUUGCACACUGAUGACAUCGUUAAUGUGCCUUUGUUAAGAAGUCAGUUACGUGGUUCACAAAUACUGGACUUUUCGCGUUUACAUCGGCUAGGUUUUCCAGUUGGCAUGCCGUUGUCAGAAUUCACUCGGCGCUUUGGUUUGCUCGCAGACGGAACACUUAGUGAUGUUACAGUGGAAAGCAUAUUAAAUCACAAUGAAAUCGACUCAUCAGUUUACCGUAUCGGACCUAGUCAGGUUCUUUUCCGAUCGGGUGUUCUGAAUCAGCUGGAAGCGAAGCGCGAUGAACUACUAUCGGACCGUAUCAUUCAACUGCAAGCAUUUAGCCGUGGUCAUUUGGCUAGAAAACGGUUAGCUCAAAGAAGAGUUCAGGAACUCGCGGUCAAAUGCAUCCAACGUAACGUACGAGCUUUUCUAAAAGUUCGUGAGUGGCCCUGGUGGCGGUUGUUAGUAAGGGUUACGCCUCUGUUGAAUGUGCAUCGUACCGAGGAGCAAUUGAAGAUAGCGACUACUGAAUUACAACUGUUGAAAGCAAAGCUGGAUAAAGUUGAAAGUGAUCGAAAUAAUCUUAAGGCGGAAAACUCCAAACUGGAAUUGAAGUUAUCCGAGAUGACGGCUGAGCUUGCAGAGGAGCAUUCGUCGUCCAAUGUGAUUAGCGAGCGCCUAGAUGCAGAAACUACCGAAAGACUGAGACUCGAAAAGGAAGUGAAGGAGCAUGAAAUCAAGUACCGCAACCUACAAGAAUCAUCCGAGAAGCUUGAAAUGGAGCUGCUGUGUGCCAAGUCAGAUCUGAACGGUGAUUUGGACGAUGACCUAGAAGGGGACGAUGCUAGUAGCAACGCAUAUAGACUCAAAUACGAGCGUGUGGCUCGAGAAUUGGAAUUCACUAAAAAACGCCUGCAAACACAACAUGAGCACGAUCUUGAGCAGCUGAUCGGUCUGAAAAAGCAAUUAGAAAAAAAGCUGGCCGAUGCCUACGAGGAAGUCGAAGAACAGCGCCAGGUAGUUGGUCAAUGGAAGCGUAAGGCACAAAAAAUGACAAACGAAAUGAAUGACUUGCGAAUGCUACUUGAAGAGCAAAAUAGUCGUAAUAAUCUUCUUGAAAAGCGCCAGCGUAAAUUCGAUUCAGAGUGCCAAGCGUUGCAGGAUUCAGCUCGUCAAGAGAAACAAGCUAAAGAACGCCUUGUCCGCGAAAAAGACGUUCUUAUUGCCGAAAAGUUUACCACAGAGCAGACGUUAUCGGAUGUUCGCUUAGAGCUCGAACUAAAGGAAGAAAAAUACAGUGCGUUGCAGCGUGAAUUGGAAGAGAUGACAUUCGGGGGUGGAACAGAGGAAGAGAUAGCUCAGCUGAAACGUCAGAAGUUGGAACUUGAUCGACGUUGUAAAGAGCAGGAAGAGGAAUUAGAUGAAAUGGCCGGUCAGAUACAGCUACUGGAACAAGCAAAAUUGCGCUUGGAAAUGUCUUUGGAAACGAUGCGAAAGGACGCGCGCAAGGAAUCGCAACAACGUGACGAUGAACUUGAAGAAGUUCGUGGUAGUUCUUAUAAGAAAAUUAAAACACUGGAAUGCCAACUUGAGCAAGAACACGAAGAGCGUACUCUGCUGCUUCGAGAGAAGCACGAACUGGAGAGGCGUCUUAAUAACCUCGAAGAGCACGAUCGAUCUGAACGAGCUGCUGAGGAAGCUGCCAGUCAAAAAUUAAAACGAGACCUCAGGAAGUACAAAGCCUUACUCCGUGAUGCACAAACUCAACUCGAACGAGCCAAAGCCGACUCUGCUGGUAAAGCACUUAUUCGUCAGCUGCGCAAUCAGCUCGAGGAUGUCGAAUCUGCCCGCUCUGCUGCCGUGAAAGCACGACAAGCAGCGGAAGGGGAGUUACAAGAUGUUCAAUUAAUGCUAGAAGAAGCUCAACGGGGUAGGUAUGAUGCCGAAGAUAAGGCAACGUCAGCCCAGCGCGAUCGUUCCGAACUACAAGCGCAAAUCGACGAAAAUGAAGAAGAAAUGGCUGAGCUAAUGAAAAAGUAUAGUUCCACGGUUAAACAGUUGAGUUCUGAACAGUCGAUUAUAGCGGAUUACGAAUUUAAAAUCUCAGAGCUCGAAUCAGAGAAAAAAUCAUUGAAAGAACAAGUUUUCGAGUUAACGUCUCGUUUAGAGAAUGUGGAGAAUAUUGGCGAAUCAUCGUCCAGUAUACAGUUCAAGCGACUUGAGCUGCGUACCAAAGAGUUAGAAUCACGAUUAGAACUGGAACAGGCUAAUCGUGCUCGAACUGAGGUUCAAUUACAGCGACAUAAGGAUUCGCUGGAAAAGGCACAACUCGAUGUAAGUCAAACGCGUACUAAGGAAAUGCACGCGCAAGACGCACUGAAAAAAUCGCAGAAAACAAUACGAGAACUACGUGAGGAACUGCAUACUAUAGCCAACAAAGAGCAAGAAAGUUUAGCUAAACGAAAGGAUCUCGAAAAACGACUGGAGUCUGUAGAAGCGGAAGCAGCAUCGGCACGAGCUGAUCUGCGGCUAGCGCUUCAACGAAUUGCUGAUUUGCAACAAGCAAUGGAAGAGGGCGACUCGAUGCAUUCCGAUAGCGAAAAUAGUGACAGUUCUAUCGAUUCUGUUGGCGAAUUGAGCUACCGUAGUCCAAGUAAUGUUUCAUUACGAGCAAGACCUGGUCAGUCUAAUGGUACCAGCUCCAAUGGAAGUAGCACAACUUUGUGUAUUCGGGAAGAAAAAGAAAACACUCCAAGGAUCAGACAGAAAUUCCAUAUAAUGGGCCAUAGAAGAAGACGUGUUCCACUCACCAUCCAAGAAGAAGACGAAGAGGAAUCGACACUGAACACUGUCGUUAACAAGCCAUUAGAUGGCUGCAAUGAAGACUUGGCAUUAGAUAGUUGCAUCGAAUCUAUCAAGAGAGCCAUAAGAGAUGGUCCCGAAUCAGAGUUCACAGGACCGGAAACAGUCGUGAUAGAUGAACCGAAAUAUACCGGUACUAUCAAAAAGUCAAUCAAUAUUACUGAAAGAAGCUCAAAAUGCAACAAAUUGCAAAACCAAUUCCAAUCUAAUAUGAAUGGUUCCAAUAAUGGGAAAUCGUUCACAGAUGAAAAUAACAACAUGAGCGAAACCCUGCUUCCAAUAAACAUGCAUUCGAUGUCUGAGCCAAAAACAGCGAAUAUUUUAACGGAUGCUUCUAAAAUAUUAGCUUAUCAGAUUCACGAUGAUUCUCGGUUCGAUUUAGAUGCACUUAAAUCGAUCAAGGAGAAAAUAAAAAGAUUAAAUCGCAGUUUAAAAGAAGAUACCGCUCAAGAACACUGUUCCAAAUUCGAUUUUCCACUAUCAUCUGUGAAAACAGCUGCGUUACCAACAAAAGAAUCCACUAACACUAACAUUCAGACAGAAACCAGUAAACUGGAUCCAAUUGAUGGUCAACUGAAUGUAGAUGAAAUCAGAUCCAUGAAGGAAAAGAUCCAAAAUCUAAAGAAACAACUUCAGGAGGAAUCUACGUCUUUGACCAAAUCAAUGAACAAAGAGGGCAUUAUGUGUGAGAUUAGUGAGAUGAAAAAAGCUCUAACGGUUGCCUUGAUGAACAAAGGCUGUGAGAGAAGAUCACUAAGUCGGUCGUCUUCGGAAAAAGACGAUAAUUCAUUAUCGAAUACAAAAAAAGAAAAUAAUUCAUUCAACAGCUUGAAAAAAGAUCAAAAUUCUUUGUCCAGUUUGAAAUCGUUUGAAAGUGUAAUGACAGACUCUACUCAGACACCAACAGAGCUCGUCAUACUGCCUGUAACUGAUAAGGCGGCGCAAUUGAAAGAUGGAACUGAUAGUGAGUUGUCUCCAAAGUUGACUGCUGAAACUAAAGAUUGUGGGCCGCCGCGCGGGUCUUCAUUAAAUCAAGAUGUAACAACAAAUGGUAGCUCCUCCGGAGUUUCUGGUCGCGAAACCGAAAGGGACCUACCUGUUCUUGAUACCAACAUCAACGACAACGUCGUUGAUCAUGGGUUGUCGAUGACAGUUGAAGAUCAAUCUGCAGCUGUAAAUAAUUCGCCGCCUCCAGCAACUCUAUGUGCUAUAAGCAAAAUAGUACUAGAGUUCAAUAAUUUUGAUGAAAUAUUAAACAAAGACUCUAUCAUACAGCCCGAAGUCGAUUCCACAUCUAUAACUUCUGGCGGUUAUAAUCAGAUGGAAAUUGACAACAACAAUUGUAAUAUGGAGGAGAAGCCAAAUAUUUCAUCUAUAGCCCUUACAGAAAAAUGCCUGACAGAAAUCGUGCUACAUGAGUCAUGUGAUAAUAACACACCAAUAGUAAAUGCUGAUUUAUGUACUGUUGAUAAAAAUCCCGAAUUUAAAGACAUUUCUCAAUCAAAAACCAGUUUCGCAAACUCGUUAGAAAUUGCUGAACAGAUUAAAGCUUCCAAUUCAACUACAAAUGACUCGGUAUCAUUGAUCAUUCUUAAGCCGUGCUUAACAGCCCAAAAUAAUUCAAAUGAAAAUACACCGAACAAUCACGUUGUCCCUGAAACUCUAGGAGUUAUGCAAUCAAAAACAGAAAGUAUGGUAUGUUCCAUUAAUAGUGCUACGAUUAACAACGUUCAAGAGGAUGCAAAAGUAUUAAAACAACAAACAGUUAAAGAUCCACAGCAAAGUUUAGAAAGUUCACCAAUCAUAACGCCAAAGAAGCUUACUAUAUGCGAUAACAAUAAUGAUCCCGCUAUAAAAUUAAAUCAUGUUGAACGUAUGGACAAAACAGUUACUGGAGAAACUUCUCACUGCUGGAAAAGUGAGUGCUUCGAAGUUACUGAUUGUAGGUGUGAAAAUAUAGAUCAAACUAUUCAAUUGUUGGUAACAUCGAUGGAAGAGAACAAAGGAAGUAUAAUUUUCCCAAAGUCCCUCAUCAAUUCUUUUGAUACAAGCAAUUUAUUUGUCGACGAUUUUGCAUCAAGGACACUACCAACUGAACCAGAAGAGCUUUCGAAUAAUAUAGAAAAUAUUGCUCUAACUUUAAAAUCCACGACCGACACAGUGGUAUCUAUCCUUCAUGACCCCACUUCAAAUGUCGGUGAGAGUAGCAAUGAAAUCGAUAUCAAUUUGGAAUCUGAGAUAAAUUGUUUAAAUCCCAUAGAACCUAAAAAAGUGAGUUCCAAAUCAAAUUCUUGUUCCCGGAGAGCUUCUUUGGCAGAAUCAGAAAAUAAAAAUACGAUAUUUUCUGAUUUGGUAAACGGGGAUUUUGUCGACACAAUGACUCCAUUAACAACAAACACAAAUGUAGCUGCAGCAUCCUUAUCCCUCAAUGAUCCUAUUGAAGACAUACCAAAUCAAGUAAGUGAGCGCGAUUUAGCAAUAGUUCAAACGACUUUGCUCAAUGAAUGUUCUUGUUCUGUCAUUCCGUUGCACGCCGCCACAGUGUCAACUGAUGUAAAGCACAAAACUGCAGUAUCUACUUCAAUUCUCAGUUCAACGAAAUCUGGAAACUUUGGCCAAGAACAGAGACCACUUUCCUACGCGGAAAGUUUGAAAAAAGCUAGAUCACCACCAAAAACCUGUAUUCAAAUGACGCGAUCGCCCAAUGUAACAGGUUAUGUGGAGGUUAAAAAAACUAACAAGAAUGAGUGUGUAAUGAAAAGUAAUAGAAUAUCUCAUAAUCAGAGUGUCAAUCAACGUGAAAGGCAUUCAAGUUUGGUCAGAGGAACCAAUAACAGUAGCAAAAGAGAUUCUACUAUUAGACAAAGCAAAUCCGCUUCAAAACUAACUCUUGAAAAUAUUUCUGUAUUUAAUGGUAAACAGGCUGAAUUAAAGCGCAAUGAUUUUGCAACAGAAUCAAGAAACAACAAUUCUAAGCAUCGGAACCAAUCGCUUACUAGAAAAGAAAUGAAUAAAUCAAACCCCACCUUGUUGCAAGGUAAAAAACUGUCGUUAGCAAAUAAUGGAAAAGAAUUGAAAUUUGAUCAACCCGAGCCAGUUUAUCGUCGUAAACAAAUCGUACACAACAAGAAGAAAUAGAUGACAAAAUCACAAAACGAUGUAUCGUUUUAUCGGAACUUCUUCACAUCAAUAAGAAUCACCCUUACGCCAUCGUCCAUGAUGGCUUCCAAAUCACCGACGAAAGAACGCAGCGGAAGUCGUGCUAGUAAUCGCAUCACUAACGGAGAUGACAGCAAUGGAGAGUCUUCUUACGCUUAAUUUCUUAUCUAGCU